UGGUUAGGGUGGAUUAUUAAAUGUUUGGGUAAACGUGGGUAAUGAAUUGGAGGUACAUUUAUGUAGGGUUAGUAUUUGUAUUAAUUUAUUUAACCUUUAUUUAACUAGGUAAGUCAGUUAAGAACAAAUUCUUAUUUGCAAUGAUGGCCUACCGGGGAACAGUGGGUUAACUGCCUGGGGCAGAACGACAGCUAUACACGACUGGCCCCCGCGACGAGAUCGGUUUGAGGUGUAGAAAGGGAACAGGGUCUGAGGUGUUGAAAGGGAACAGGGCAGGGUUUGAGGUGUAGAAAGGGAACAGGGUCUGAGGUGUAGAAAGGGAACAGGGCAGGGUUUGAGGUGUAGAAAGGGAACAGGGUCUGAGGUGUAGAAAGGGAACAGGGCAGGGUCUGAGGUGUAGAAAGGGUACAGGGCAGGGUUUGAGGUGCUGAAAGGGUACAGGGCAGGGUUUGAGGUGUAGAAAGGGAACAGGGCAGGGUCUGAGGUGUAGAAAGGGAACAGGGCAGGGUCUUGAGGUGUAGAAAGGGAACAGGGCAGGGUCUGAGGUGUAGAAAGGGAACAGGGCCGGGUCUGAGGUGUAGAAAGGAAACAGGGCCGGGUCUGAGGUGUAGAAAGGGAACAGGGCCGGGUCUGAGGUGUAGAAAGGGAACAGGGCAGGGUCUGAGGUGUAGAAAGGGAACAGGGCAGGGUCUGAGGUGUAGAAAGGGAACAGGGCAGGGUUUGAGUUGUUUUGGUGGUGUUUGUUUUUUAUAAAUGUAUAGACUGCAUUUAUGUGUGUGUGUGUGUGUGUGUGUGUGUGUGUGUGUGUGUGUGUGUGUGUGUGUGUGUGUGUGUGUGUGUGUGUGUGUGUGUGUACACAUCUUAACCAGCAAUGAGGAUGGGAUGAAUGUAAAGUGAAGUAAUUCCAAUGUGAACUUAAAUGCUGUGGCUUAGUGUGUACUAUAAAGCUGUAUUUAGAUGUAAUGAGCAAGACAGCAGAUUGGGGAGGAUGUCGGGACUGUGGAUCCUAGCAAGUAGCAGAUUAGGGGACGUCAUCGUGGCUAGUAUGGGUUAUAUGGGAUGGACUGUAAUGGAGACUUUUAAAAGGGAAUUGUUUACAUCCCAAAUGGAACCCUAUUCCCUAUAUAGUGCACUACUUUUGACCAGAGCCCUAUGGCACACUAUUCCCUAUAUAGUGCACUACUUUAGACCAGGCCCGUAGGAAUAGGGUGCCAUUUGGGACGUAGUCAUUGUGUUCACAUGGUGUUCUACAGAAAAAUCAAGAAGUUAGUAUUUAGGGUUGCCAGGUUGGAAAAUCUUCAAACGGAGCUUGCACAUCUACCCAAUGACUUUAUUCCGUUGGUUGGUCUGUGUCAUGAAUGUCCUGUGAGGAUCCAAAUAGGUCAGAUCAGCUUGGCAAUGGAUGAUUUCAACCAGACCAUCUCUCACCCGCAGAGGGGCGGGGAGGAGGGAGUCGGUGUGGUGGGUUGACACCUGUUGUUAAUUAAAGGAGAGGAGAUCCAGGAUCUCUCUGUCCAAAUUCACAAAGGAAUGUGCUUUGUCUCUGGAGGGUUUUCCCGCCAAAACUGUAACACGUUCUAAAGCGAACACAAGAACAAUAUUUCUAACAGAGCGUGGGGAAAGGUCAGAGACGAUCUAUAGAAAACUAAUGUCAUAAUGUGUGUUAUUUUGUGAUGCCAUUAAAAAUGUUAUAGAGGAAAUACUGUAACUUGAAGUAUGUACACGACAUGUACGAAGUCUCCAUCCUUUACGUUGUGUAUGAACAAUGAUGAAAGUAGUUUUGUUAAAAUAGGGAUGUGAUUUUAGGAGCCAUGAGAUAUAAUUUGUCUCCUAUAAAAUUUUGCACAGUAAAUAGCCACGCCCCAGAAUGAGGUCAGAGAGCAUGUCAACGUGACGGAACCGUCCCUUUGGACCAGAGUGAGUUCAGAGAGCGUGUCAACCUGACGGAACCGUCCCUUUGGACCAGAGUGAGGUCAGAGAGCGUGUCAACGUGACGGAACCGUCCCUUUGGACCAGAGUGAGGUCAGAGAGCGUGUCAACCUGACGGAACCGUCCCUUUGGACCAGAGUGAGGUCAGAGAGCGUGUCAACCUGACGGAACCGUCCCUUUGGACCAGAGUGAGGUCAGAGAGCGUGUCAACCUGACGGAACCGUCCCUUUGGACCAGAGUGAGGUCAGAGAGCGUGUCAACGUGACGGAACCGUCCCUUUGGACCAGAGUGAGGUCAGAGAGCGUGUCAACCUGACGGAACCGUCCCUUUGGACCAGAGUGAGGUCAAACAGCAUAUCAACCUGACGGAACCGUCCCUUUUGGACCAGCGUGUAUAAAAGGAUUGGUAAAGAACUCAACAUUUAGACCAGAGGGGAGUGUAGCUGCAGCUCACGUCCAAAGUGGUUUGAAUUCUGAAAUCUCAACACGAGGUAGAGAAGAUAAACUCACCUCCCAGACAACCACUGGGACGGCUGAUUAGCUGUCCUAAGUAAAGUAUCUAGAAAGUUGAACUUAAGAGGGAUCAUUCAACUACUCUUCUCAAAUCAAUGUAGUACGCUACUCUCAUCACCCAAUGAAAACCGUUGACACGGCUGGCUAGCGUGUCUUCAAAGAGGCAUCUUCAGGAGCGAAUGGAAGGGAAAUCAACUCUGGACUACAAGAUGAAUCAAGAUAUUUACACGUAAAUACAUAAAUGAUUUCUUACUCCAAACAGGCGGCGGUUCGUGUGCAAAGUGUAUCAUUUACUGUGAGAUUAGUUUCUAAAUGUACCAAAGUAUUAUGUCUCUGUACCUUUCUCUCUCUCGCCCCCUCCAUCUGUUUUAUAAAAAGCCGCCAUAUGUUGUCAGUCCGAUAGUGACCUGUUUCUAAUGUGUCUAUGUUUACCCUGUGUUACCGUUUAGUUAGCUAGUAAAUAAAUAAUUAAACCAA